rnacentral:rRNA from 1 species
CAAUAGCGUAUAUUAAAGUUGUUGCGGUUAAAAAGCUCGUAGUUGGAUUCCUGUAUGGAAGGGGCGUCCCCACCCUUUGGAUGGGGGUUGCUGCCUUCUUUGCAUCUUCCGGAGUAGAUGUUCCUCACUUCACUGUGAGGACAUUAUGCUCGGGUCAUUUACUUUGAGGAAAAGAGAGUGCUCCAAGCAGGCAAACGCCUGAAUACGUUAGCAUGGAAUAAUAGCAUCGGAUCAUCGUUCAGCUGUUGGUGUCUGGACGAGGAUAAAGGUGAACAGGGAUUGUUGGGGGCAUUCGUAUUUAACUGUCAGAGGUGAAAUUCUUGGAUUUAUGAAAGAUGAACUUAGGCGAAAGCAUUUACCAAGGAUGUUUUCAUUAAUCAAGAACGAAAGUUAGGGAUCGAAGAUGAUCAGAUACCAU